rnacentral:lncRNA from 1 species
ACAAAACCAGGAUCUGAUUCUUUGAGAAAAUCAACAAGGUAGAUAAGCCCUUAGUGAGACUAACCAAAGCGCACAGAGGCAAUAUCCAAAUUAAUAAAAUCAGAAAUGAAAAGGGAGACAUAACAAUGAAAUACAUCUUAAAAUAAUUAUUUUGUUUGUUGAAUAUUAACAGUUGAAAAUAUUCAUUAAUGAUAUUUUUAGGGCAUUAAAGGAUAUGAAUAUAAAGUUGAACAAAAUUUUUAUGUAUUUGAUUCUCAAAAUACUCAAUAUUAUUAGUAUGUUUGAUGUAUAAAAAUGCAUUUAAAUAAUAAAAAAUUUUGAGAAAAAAAAAGUAUAUACCACAACACCUAGCCUCAAAUACUGUUUUUAAAAGAUGAAAGAUUUGUAUGUUCUGAGAGGAAACCAGAAUAAAAAAUAAUAUUUUAAAUGUAUAAGAGAAAUAAUCUAAAAUAAGAAUAUUUCACAUUAUAGUUGUUUGUAUCUGUUUUGAGGUAACAUUAUUAUAUAGUCAAGAUUAAAACUCUGUGUAGUCCAGGCUAACCUCACUAGCCAUUUUUCUGCCCCAGGUUCCUCAGUGCUAUGCCACUGCGCCCUGUAAUAUUUUAGUCUUAAGAGAGUAUGAUCCAGCAGAAGAGCAUUUUAUAAUGCUAAGUCUCCACAGGGCCCUAAUAGAAAUGAAAGCUUACUAUAUUUAAAAACACAUUUUAUAAGGAAGAAAAUGAUUGUACAAUUAAGACUUUCUUUUCCAACACCUUCAGCAUGAGAAUAGAUGGUUUGGGAUAACUGUCUUUGAAAGUGGCAGUGAGUGGCUUGUUAAACAAGUAGUGGCUGUGAUGGGAGUAAACUGGGUGAUUUUCCUGAGGCUGUGGAAAGCUCAGAACACUAAGAAGGCUACUGGCCUCGGCUGUACUGAUUAUCCUGUGUAUAUAUAAUCUAAGAAGGUGAGAAAAUGCCUCUUGGUGUUUAUUUGAUUGGUUUGAUGAAGAGCAAAUAAAGUUCUCAUGGCAUCAUGUGAUGACCACUCUGGUGAGGUAAAGUGGUAAUUUUGCUUUCUUUUAUGUAAUUAUAAACUUCAUAAAGCCUACAAUUGGAAGUAGCAACAGAUGUUAUCCAGUUCAACACUUCUGGUUUCCCUCUGAGUGUAUAUAGAGCAGGUCGAUUGUGUGAAUCAGAAUUCCUGUCCCUUGGUCAAUGCUAACUGGAAUAUGAUCUUUGCGCUUUGGCUUCCUAAAGUAAAGGAUUCACCAAGGUCGCAAUAAAUCGGUAGCAGUUUGCCUCUUAAUAAUUUGUUUUUUUGAAGAUAACUAAGAAAAUCCAUCCUCUCUCAUUGAUGGUUUCUGUAUCUGUUGGGAGAAUGAGCAAAAGUAAAAUAGGACAGUCAAGAAGGAACUAGAUGGAUAGACACGUGACACUCAUGUUUAUUCUUAGGUUCCUGAUUUGUGAUGUAUUUCGGAGGGAGGACAGAGGAGAGGAGGCCCUACACUAGUUUUGAGUGUUUUUCAUCAGUUUGGGGGUACAUUGUAAUGUUCAGUGUCCUAAGAUUCUCUGCUAGCCUGUUUCCCAGCAGUUUAACCAGCAGCCCAUAAUUAACUGUUUGUUCUUCUCACUGGACCCUCAGCCCAGGAAAACACAAGGCAUGUUCUAAUUUGAGAAGAUUUAUCUGCUUGGUUUUAUUUUUUUGGAUACAGUUCUUACAUUGUUUAGUCUGGCCUGGUACUCACUGUGUAGCCUAGGGUGCCCUCAAACUCAUUGUCUUCUCCUAUUUCCUUCUCUGGAGAUGCCCAGGCUCGCUCAGACUCAAACGCAUAGAGAGCGGCUUGCCUCUAGGGCUUGCAGGUGUGUACCACCCACCCAUAGGCUUUGAGAACGUGUAAGUGAUGUAGUUGUGUUAAUGUAAUUGUUGAGUUGUGGCAAACCUGCUGUGCAUAUGCCUCUCUCAUCUCUAUCCAGCCUGCUGUGCUGACUUCAUUUCCCCAGGGUUCUUUACAGUCUUGUUAUCGUCUUCAUGGUCUGCUGGUGGAACCUUGGAAGGGGUCUCCACUACUCUCAGAACAGCUAGCUUUCUGAUCAAAAAAUACUGCUUAUAAGAUAAAUGUGACAUAUAAAUGAACAUCAUCCAGAUUAAUAAAUGGAAAAUUUACUUUUGUUUUCUCUCUAACCCUAAUAUAUCUCUGUUUGUUUGUUUGUUUGUUUACAAAACCAAAAAGGAAAGAUUAUAAGCAGGGACUCACAGUUGUCUGUAAUUCUAGUACUUGCUUAACUUUCCACCCAUUUGCAGGCUUUCACGACAGCCCAUGUCACUGAGAUGAACCACGCGUGUGCAGUUAGUAACUCUCCAGCCUUUUGUUUACCAGUCUCUCGUGGUACUUGGUAUCUUCAACUUGUCUGUGGUUUAUUCUUUUCAGGGUUCUGUCCCUUUAAGAUUACUGAUUCAUUGCCGUCCUUUUGAUAGUAGUCACUUGCAUGCUAACUGCUCAGAAUACGUUUCGAAUGAACAAAUAAACUAGUUUAUUGUGC